rnacentral:rRNA from 1 species
AGACGUAGGAUGCAAGCGUUAUCCGGAAUCAUUGGGCGUAAAGAGUCCGUAGGUGGUAUGUUAAGUUGGAUGUUAAAUUUUUGAGCUCAACUCAAAAAAUGUGUCCAAAACUGGCAAACUGGAGACAGGUAGAGGUAAGUGGAAUUCUGCAUGUAGGGGUUAUAUCCGUAGAUAUGCAGAGGAACACCAAAAGCGAAGGCAGCUUACUGGACCUGUUCUGACACUCAAGGACGAAAGCGUGGGUAGCAAACGGGAUUAGAAACCCGGGUAGUCC